rnacentral:rRNA from 1 species
AGUGAACGCUGGCGGUAGGCCUAACACAUGCAAGUCGAACGGCAGCACAGUAAUAGCUUGCUCUUACGGGUGGCGAGUGGCGUACGGGUGAGGAAUACAUCGGAAUCUACUUUUUCGUGGGGGAUAACGUAGGGAAACUUACUCUAAUACCGCAUACGACCUACGGUUGAAAGCAGGGGAUCUUCGGACCUUGCGCGAUUGAAUGAGCCGAUGUCGGAUUAGCUAGUUGGCGGGGUAAAUGCCCACCAAGGCGACGAUCCGUAGCUGGUCUGAGAGGAUGAUCAGCCACACUGGAACUGAGACACGGUCCAGACUCCUACGGGAGGCAGCAGUGGGGAAUAUUGGACAAUGGGCGCAAGCCUGAUCCAGCCAUACCGAGUGGGUGAAGAAGGCCUUCGGGUUGUAAAGCCCUUUUGUUGGGAAAGAAAAGCAGCAGGUUAAUACCCCGCUGUUCUGACGGUACCCAAAGAAUAAGCACCGGCUAACUUCGUG